rnacentral:lncRNA from 1 species
AUGGCGUGCUUGCACCCCACUCUGCGAGGUCUCCUCGUCAGCCUGCGCCCUCACGGCAGGUUUCUCAGACCGCCGGGAGGUCUGACAGCAAACGCCUGGGCAUUUGCUCCGCCGGCUGGCGCGGCUACGCGGCCGGGCAGGGCAUCUGGCCUCCGUGUGCCACCGGGGUCUUACUCACUUGCUCCAGGCGCAGCUCCUCGCCCAGCAGCAGCCCAAGUUUCGCGGCAGCUCGUUCCCCCGGGGGUCUGGGGCCAGCGCUGCUGUGCCCCAGCCGCUAAGGCGGCCCCGGGCGGCGGCUCCCCCUGGGCGCUCGCAGCCCGGGCCGGGGUCCCGCCGCAGCCAGGCUGGGCACCAGCGGGAAAAGUCCUUCCCGCCGCUGCGGGCGACGUCGCGCUGCCUUGGAAAGUUGGUGGCGCGGAAAGGGUUACGAGAGAGCCCCAGCCCGCCGGCCCCGGGCACUCCCGCCGAUCUGCGCCGCUCUCCCCCCACCGCCGGCGCCCCUUACCUGGCGGAACGCCCCGGCGGGCUGCCCCCCGCAUCCCCGGCCGCGGAUCCUGGGGCGGGGGACGCCGAGCCCGGCCCAGCCCGGCCCGGCCCGGGGGCGGCAGCCGGCGGAGCUCAGCGGGCGGCGCUGCGGGGGCUCAUCCCUGCCCGCGCUGCCGCCCUGCCCGGCCCUGCCCUGCCCUGCCCGCGCGGGCACCCGCUGAGCGGGGCCGCCUCUCCACGCCCUCCGCGCCGGGCGAGGGGCGGGCGGCGAGGGGGCUGCGCCGCUUCCCUCCCUCCCUCCUUCCCUCCCUCCCUUCCUUCCUCCCUCGGGCCGGCAGCACGCACGGGCGCACGCAGCACAGCGCCAGGCACCGGCUCCGGCAGAGCCUCCGCUCCGCUCCGCGCAGCCCGCUCACCCCAGCCCGGCCGCGGGGCCCCCGGCUUUGCCGGGAAGGAAACUCCCUUUUCUUUAUUUACCUCCCCGAGGCGCCCGGUCGGAGCGGCCAGAGCCCCUCCCGUCGCGAGUCGGGAGGGGGCCCGGUGAGAUGUGUCCCCCAGGCUGGGUGCUGA